rnacentral:rRNA from 1 species
UGGGGAAUAUUGCACAAUGGGGGAAACCCUGAUGCAGCCAUGCCGCGUGUGUGAAGAAGGCCUUCGGGUUGUAAAGCACUUUCAGUGGUGAGGAAAGGUAGCAGCUUAAUACGUUGCUACUGUGACGUUAACCACAGAAGAAGCACCGGCUAACUUCGUGCCAGCAGCCGCGGUAAUACGAGGGGUGCAAGCGUUAAUCGGAAUAACUGGGCGUAAAGCGCACGCAGGCGGUUUGUUAAGCCAGAUGUGAAAGCCCCGAGCUCAACUCGGGAACUGCAUUUGGAACUGGCAAACUAGAGUCUUGUAGAGGGGGGUAGAAUUUCCAGUGUAGCGGUGAAAUGCGUAGAGAUUGGAAGGAAUACCAGUGGCGAAGGCGGCCCCCUGGACAAAGACUGACGCUCAUGUGCGAAAGCGUGGGGAGCAAACA